GGCCUCCUAGCUCAGUUUGGUUAGAGCGUACGGUUCACAUCCGUAAGGUCGCAGGUUCGAGCCCUGCGGAGGCCA
rnacentral:tRNA from 1 species